AUUGAACGCUGGCGGCAGGCCUAACACAUGCAAGUCGAGCGAGCGGCGGACGGGUGAGUAAUGUCUGGGAAUCUGCCAGAUGGAGGGGGAUAACUACUGGAAACGGUAGCUAAUACCGCAUACUACAAUAUGUUCCCAGAUGGGUUUAGCUAGUGGGUGGGGUAAUGUCUCACCUAGGCGGCGAUCCCUAGCUGGGCUGAGAGGAUGACCAGCCACACUGGAACUGAGACACGGUCCAGACUCCUACGGGAGGCAGCAGUGGGGAAUAUUGCACAAGGGGCGCAAGCCUGAUGCAGCCAUGCCGCGGGGGUGAAGAAGGCCUUCGGGUUGUAAAGCACUUUCAGCGGGGAGGCGUUACUCGCAGAAGAAGCACCGGCUAACUCCGUGCCAGCAGCCGCGGUAAUAC
rnacentral:rRNA from 1 species